AUACGGAGGAUCCGAGCGUUAUCCGGAUUUACUGGGUUUAAAGGGUGCGUAGGCGGCGCCUAAGUCAGCGGUGAAAUGCAGCGGCUCAACCGUUGAACUGCCGUUGAAACUGGGCGCCUUGGAUGCGGUCGAGGCCGGCGGAAUGCGUGGUGUAGCGGUGAAAUGCAUAGAUAUCACGCAGAACUCCGAUUGCGAAGGCAGCUUACUAAGCUACAACUGACACUGAAGCACGAAAGCGUGGGGAUC
rnacentral:rRNA from 1 species